rnacentral:rRNA from 1 species
AUUGAACGCUGGCGGCAUGCCUAACACAUGCAAGUCGAGCGGAUGAAGGGAGCUUUCUCCUGUAUUCUGCUGCGGACGGGUGAGUAAUUCCUACGAAUCUGCCUGGUAGUUAGGGCUAAGGUCCGUACACGGGCCCUAAUCCCGCAUACGUCCUUAGUUAGAACGUGGUGGAUCUUCAGACCUCACGCUAUCAGAUGACCCUAGUUCGUAUUAGCUCGUUGGUGUGGUAAAGGCCUACCAAGGCGACGAUCCGUAACUGGUCUGAGAGGAUGAUCAGUCACACUGGAACUGAGACACGGUCCAGACUCCUACGGGAGGCAGCAGUGGGGAAUAUUGGACAAUGGGCGAAAGCCUGAUGCAGCAAUGCCGCGUGUGUGAAGAAGGUCUUCGGAUUGUAAAGCACUGUAAGUUGGGAGGAAGAGAAGUAAGUUAAUACCUUGAUGUCUUGACGGUACCAAAAGAAUAAGCAACGGCUAACUUCGUG